AGAGUUUGAUCCUGGCUCAGGACGAACGCUGGCGGCGCGCCUAACACAUGCAAGUCGAACGAGCGAGAGAGAGCUUGCUUUCUCAAGCGAGUGGCGAACGGGUGAGUAACGCGUGAGGAACCUGCCUCAAAGAGGGGGACAACAGUUGGAAACGACUGCUAAUACCGCAUAAGCCCACAGCUCGGCAUCGAGCAGAGGGAAAAGGAGCAAUCCGCUUUGAGAUGGCCUCGCGUCCGAUUAGCUAGUUGGUGAGGUAAUGGCCCACCAAGGCGACGAUCGGUAGCCGGACUGAGAGGUUGAACGGCCACAUUGGGACUGAGACACGGCCCAGACUCCUACGGGAGGCAGCAGUGGGGAAUAUUGCACAAUGGGGGAAACCCUGAUGCAGCGACGCCGCGUGGAGGAAGAAGGUCUUCGGAUUGUAAACUCCUGUUGUUGAGGAAGAUAAUGACGGUACUCAACAAGGAAGUGACGGCUAACUACGUGCCAGCAGCCGCGGUAAAACGUAGGUCACAAGCGUUGUCCGGAAUUACUGGGUGUAAAGGGAGCGCAGGCGGGAAGACAAGUUGGAAGUGAAAUCUAUGGGCUCAACCCAUAAACUGCUUUCAAAACUGUUUUUCUUGAGUAGUGCAGAGGUAGGCGGAAUUCCCGGUGUAGCGGUGGAAUGCGUAGAUAUCGGGAGGAACACCAGUGGCGAAGGCGGCCUACUGGGCACCAACUGACGCUGAGGCUCGAAAGUGUGGGUAGCAAACAGGAUUAGAUACCCUGGUAGUCCACACCGUAAACGAUGAUUACUAGGUGUUGGAGGAUUGACCCCUUCAGUGCCGCAGUUAACACAAUAAGUAAUCCACCUGGGGAGUACGACCGCAAGGUUGAAACUCAAAGGAAUUGACGGGGGCCCGCACAAGCAGUGGAGUAUGUGGUUUAAUUCGACGCAACGCGAAGAACCUUACCAAGUCUUGACAUCCCUUGACGAUGCUGGAAACAGUAUUUCUUUUCGGAGCAAGGAGACAGGUGGUGCAUGGUUGUCGUCAGCUCGUGUCGUGAGAUGUUGGGUUAAGUCCCGCAACGAGCGCAACCCUUACUGUCAGUUACUACGCAAGAGGACUCUGGCAGGACUGCCGUUGACAAAACGGAGGAAGGUGGGGAUGACGUCAAAUCAUCAUGCCCUUUAUGACUUGGGCUACACACGUACUACAAUGGCGUUAAACAAAGAGAAGCAAGACCGCGAGGUGGAGCAAAACUCAGAAACAACGUCCCAGUUCGGACUGCAGGCUGCAACUCGCCUGCACGAAGUCGGAAUUGCUAGUAAUCGUGGAUCAGCAUGCCACGGUGAAUACGUUCNCCGGGCCCUUGUACACACCGCCCGU
rnacentral:rRNA from 1 species